rnacentral:snoRNA from 1 species
AGGGAUAUACAUGAUGCAAAAAAUUUUUGUGCCCAAUCUGUUGAUUUUUCUGUACUGUGACUAUUCUUUUAUAUUGAUAUAUUGAAUAGGAACAUCUGGUAGAUUCCU